GUAAAUGUGAAAAAGCUGUACCUCGUUUGGUAUACUUUGAUAUCCUCAGUAUUAUCAAAAGUCCGGAGUUUUGCGACCUUAAAGAGCGUGAAGGAUUGUAAUGUGAUAGAAGAUUGGUUAAAUAUAAAGGAGCUUGGCCAUGUAGGGCUUUAUAGAUCUAGACAGCAAGCCAAAUGGUCUAAAAUGUCUGACCUGUGACAAGCAUUCAGUCAAAGUCUGCAACUCUACCAUGUGCUGUGUUGGAAAUCAAAAUCAAUGUUUGAUAAUCAAAGGUUCACAUUUCCCACUGGAUUCUAAUAUAUUGGGAUGCAGCUCUAAAGCUGUUUGUGACAAAUUUACCAACAUUAGCAGUUUGCAUGAAGUCCAGUGCUGUUCAGGGAACUUCUGUAACAAGGUGUAAAGUUUGGAUUAGAGUUGACCUCAGCAUUUUACUGUUAAUCCUAUUACCUAAAAUAAAAAAUAAAAUAAAAACAAAUUUCUGUCUCUCUCUUGCCCUCAGACUUUAUACCUUCCUUUUUUUGAUGUGAGCAUGUCUUAAUUAAAGAAUAACAGUAACAAUCAGACUACGUAGUAGUUAAUUUACAUUUACUUGCAGAUGAAAAGCAGACAUGAAAGAAGCUUCAUCUUGGUUGAGGAAAUAAGUGAAAGUGUAUUUCUAUAAGAAAACUGUAAGAAUAAUUGUAUUCUUUUACAUAUUCUAGCUUAACAUGUGGCAUUGGAAUUUGUGUUUUAAUUUGAUCCUUGAAAUAUCUUCCCAUUGCCAGACAGCAAAAUAUGGAAUAAAUUGUUGUUAUUGUUGUUGCAUGGAUGCAUGAAGCAUAUUUUAUUAACCCUUAA